UGAGAUAUAGCUCAGUGGUAAAGCCCUUGUGUAGCACGCAUGAGGACCUGGGUUCAAUUCCCAGCAACACAA
rnacentral:tRNA from 1 species